CUCUUCUGGGCAUUUCUCUUUUAAACAAAGGGGGGACCACCAGAUGGGAGGAGAGAAAGAGACGUGGCAGAGGCCAUGCUGGAGUUGGAGGAGCCCAUACCUGCUGAGAGAUGAACAGGGAAGCAGGUAAUGGCUUGCCCGAGAAGGUAGGAAUCGGCUAGAGAAAAAGAGAUAGAAGGAAAAAAGAGAGGUGUGGCUGGGGGGUUCUUGGGAUCUGAGGGAGUGAAGCUUGAAGAAGAAGGAGAGAAAAUGAGAAAGGGGGAAGGGAAGAACUGAGGGGUUUUCUCACGGAUUUUUGCUGGAGAAGAGCUUUCUAGGGACGGAAAAUGCUGAGUGGCCUUUACCAAAAAUGAGCUGUGAAUUCCCUUAUUAUUAUUGCUGGUUCGUGUGGGUUAUGUCCAUGGAGGAGCCGUUUUGAGGGGAAGGAAGAAACUAAGAGGAAGGGAGGAGAACAAGAGGGAGUUGAACACGUGGAGAAGUGAAGCUUGGAAUGAGGGCCCCAACUUGGUCAACUCAUUUCCAUUCUUCCCAUUCUCUUGUGCAGCCACCUAACCCAAUUUAUUUAUUUAUUUAUUUUCACUGUUUUCCCCCACUUAAA